CGUGGGGGGGGCUAACACAUGCAAGUCGAGGGGUAACAUUGUGCUUGCACAGAUGACGACCGGCGCACGGGUGCGUAACGCGUAUAGAACCUACCUUUUACAGAGGAAUAGCCUUUAGAAAUGAAGAUUAAUGCCUCAUAGUAUUGUAGACUGGCAUCAGUUUAUAAUUAAAGAUUUAUCGGUAAAAGAUGGCUAUGCGUCCUAUUAGUUAGUUGGUAAGGUAACGGCUUACCAAGACAGCGAUAGGUAGGGGUCCUGAGAGGGAGAUCCCCCACACUGGUACUGAGACACGGACCAGACUCCUACGGGAGGCAGCAGUGAGGAAUAUUGGACAAUGGAGGAGACUCUGAUCCAGCCAUGCCGCGUGUAGGAAGAAUGCCCUAUGGGUUGUAAACUACUUUUAUACAGGAAGAAACACUGGUAUGUAUACCAGCUUGACGGUACUGUAAGAAUAAGGACCGGCUAACUCCGUGCCAGCAGCCGCGGUAAC
rnacentral:rRNA from 1 species